UUAGGGAUGCGGGUGUUAUUGUGUUGAUGUGUUGUGUACUCACUCUUGAGCGCGCAGAUCAGCUGGUGUCCAUCUUUAAUCAGCUCUUUGAUGAACGUGUUCGUUCGAUCCAGCUCGAUCUCGUGACAUUUGAGUCUCUCUCUAAAGUCCGGACUGUCCACAAAAGAGUCACUGAACUCUAGAGUCGGCAACCCCAUAAUCAGACCUGAAAUAAAGCCUCACAGAACAAUGCAACUCGGUAUUUCCUCAGAAACACUGGAGCACCCGUGUCAUCAUUAUCAUCCUCAUCCACACUCGAAACGCGGAAAGUGUCGCUCUCUUGCAAAGAUUCAUGCGAAAGUUUCUCUUCACUUCCGCGCUCUGAACUUUCAUCAAGCCAAACUUCUGCAGCAGCCAGCAUGAGAUCAUGAGACUCCUGCUGGUUAUAUUAGAUAACACCCGUAGACCUGCUGUAUGUGCUUUACUCUUCAACGUUCAAACACUUUCAUUAAUAAGUUUAAAUGCCACAAUGGCAAACAUGGUAAUACCUCUACAUCUUCAUGCCUCUGUUUGAUCUGCCACAUUGGGAGUAAAAGGCCGAUAACCGAGGGGCAUUUAGUACUGCUGCCAGGCACCGCGAGCUAGUUGAGGAUCAAGCGGCAGUGUGUUUAGGGAACCAAACCAAAAUGUUUUUUUUUCUCUCUCCCCUUCCAACAAGACAGGACCAGGUCUGGGUAUUUUAGUUGG